CCUAUCAAAGGGAGUGAGAGUAUAAGAGAGAGAGUGUGUGCUCGUGUGAGAGUACUGUGGAUGAGUGAGUGAAAAUGUGUGUAUAUUUAUGUCAUAUUUCCGUGAUUAAAAAAAGUUAGUUGUCCGAACUGAAAUUUACUAGAUUAGUGUUCGGGAGAGCUCCUGCGAUUGGUAUUGGAGUACCUACAAUUUCAUCUACCUGUCUAAAAAAUCUCUCUUUCUUCUUUCGUGUUCUCCCUUUGGCCAUAUCUCAUUCUUCUUCCGUGAUCUAUGGUGUAGCGACGAAUGGAACAGAUCCUUGCAGGAAACGGGAAAUGGUGAUGAAGCCGAAUUUUAAGGGGAGAGAGGAUCCGUUUCUGUUCUUGUCCUAUUGUGUUUUGGGUGAUGAGGUGGAAGAGAAGAGGAAAAGCUUUAUUGGGAUGCAUUAGAGAGGAAGAGGAGGAGGAGAGUGAAAAGCAUUACAAUCGAUAUAUAUCUCUCUCACUCUGACUCAGCCUCUCUCUCCGUGUCUGUACGUUUUUGGCAUCAUGCUUUCCAUUUCCUUCUGUGUGGUGACUGGUGAGGUCUCCUCUCUGAUUCAUGCAAGAUGGACGGGAGUUGCCUUCAUCUUCUUCCUCACGGCACAAUUGGAUGAUUGGGCAGGGAAAUUUUCCGAUUGGGCAAGGCAUGCGUCUUGAAGAAGGAACGACAUUAACAAUAUGUCAUAUUAAUGAGGACCCGCCGGGCGUACCGUGCACGAUAGUGCAUGUAAGGGGAGGAAUCCGAAGAGUUUUUGCAAUAGGAUGGGAUCAACCCUUCAAAUUCUUAGGCUAUGUAAGGGAGGGCAAGACAUACUUAACCACCCGCACUAAUCUUUGGAGGUUCUUAUGUAAAGAGACAAGGAUGUAUUGUCUCCUAAUCAAUGUACUUCCUCGUAAUUCUUGUGACAGCUCCACCCCGCAUACACAAAAUUUAGCAACCCAACCCCUUUGGCAACUAUGAUAUACCAGUCAAACCAGCACUGAACAAAUGAAUUAAACAUGUGAUCGUAUCUCUGUCUCCAAAUGUAGACACGGUGAGCUAGGAAAAAUUUCCCACAUCUUUUAUUAACAUGUAUAAUUGCGUUUUGUGUGUGGCCCUUCUCAUGUCUAGCCUUCAAGAUGCAUCAUUGGGUCAGGAAUAUUUUUUGAGAAAUAUAAUUUAGAAAAUGGUUGUAGGAGUCAGAUAGAAAGUCUGCGUUGCAUAUUGGCGUCUUUCAUAAUUUGGUAUAUGUUUGAAGAUCGUAAUGACAUUGUCUUCUGGAAAGAGCUUUGGGCUUCGCAAACAUAAGAUAACAAGGAGCUGCAGUGGCCAAGGAGCUCGAGGAUACAAAGUGUCAUUGUAAAUGGAUAUUUCUUGUGAGAAAAAUGUAAACAUAAUUUUGAUGCGCUUGCAUAGUUCGCCAGAAAGAGGCUAAUUACUAAUCACAGUACGUGGUCAGUUAGCUUUUUUUUUCCUAACCCGGGGUGUUCAAGCUUCACCCGACUAAUCCCUGGGGCUCUGUGAACCCCCGGCGGCGCACGGAGCGGACAAUCACGCCAAAUGCGCUCUGGUGGCUCCAAGGGGAUUGGAACCUGGGAUCGAGUGCAAACUUAAGCGCACCUUAACUAUUAGGCCAAAUCCCUUGGGGUUUGGUCAGUUAGCUAUUAACAUAACUGACAUUGUUGAGGCAAAGUAAUCUGAAAAGUCCGAACAUUUGAAAACUUGGAGUGACAUUAUAUAUAAUGGGAUUGGGGAAAAAAAAAGUACACGUAUGACGGAGACAGAUAGGCUA